rnacentral:rRNA from 1 species
CCCUUAGACGUUCUGGGCCGCACGCGCGCUACACUGACCAGUGCAACAAGCAUCCGUCCUUGGCCGACAGGCCCGGGCAAUCUUUGAACGCUGGUCGUGAUGGGGAUAGACUUUUGCAAUUUUUGGUUUUCAACGAGGAAUUCCUAGUAAACGCAAGUCAUCAACUUGCAUUGAUUACGUCCCUGCCCUUUGUACACACCGCCCGUCGCACCUACCGAUUGAAUGGUCCGGUGAAGCCUCCGGAUUGGCGCGCACCUCGGUGCCGCCGAGAAGUUGGCUAAACCUUACCAUUUAGAGGAAGGUGAAGUCGUAACA